ACUAUAAUAAUGAAAAGUUUAUAAUCAAAUAAUGAAAAGUAAAUAAUCAGAUCAGAAAUUGAGGGAUUUUGCAUAAGGGUCGUUUCUGUUGUAAUUGUUUUUAAUGUAGUAAGAUAGUAAAAUAAUAUUUGUAUGUGACGUAUAAACCUAAGCAUCAUAUCAAAGUUGCUAAAUGUAAAUUUUACCCCAGGCUAUAGUCAUAUAGUACAUUAUAAAUAAAUAACCUCUCUAAAUAAAUUUAUUUUACAUGAUUUUAACAAUCACAUGACAUUAUGUUGCAUUUCCCAUUUUUUAAAAAUAUAGAUUUCUGAUAUUGCAAUAAUUGCUGUUAUAUUUAGUAUUUAAAUCAUACUAAACUUCAGGUUGUGUCAUUCCUAAAACUCCUUUUCUGUGUUUGCUUCAUGUGAUAUUUUGAAAAAAGAAGGAGAAAAACAUCAGUCUAAUUGGAAAAUGUUUGCAGUCUUUGUUUCUUUCUUUCUUUUUUACAUUUCUGUGAGCUAUUAAUUAAAUUGCUGGCAUCUUUAAACUGACUGUCAUGAUAAAGAUCUCGGCGUGAGAUUAGCCAUGACACUAGACAUCUGACCUCAAAGUAAUUAUUUGCAAAAAAUGCUGACUAACAAAUUACAAAUUUACAUGUGUAUAUAUAGCCUAUAUAUUUAUGGAGUCUGCCCUACGACUGUAUUUACAGACUUGUUUCCCACAGAAGAGAUGAAGAUUGUCUGGCUUGCUCUUUUCCUGUCAGCUCAUUGUGAGCUGAGUUUAACUUUGAUCAGGAAACACAUUUUUAUCAGUUAUGCUAAGACUUGGAGUGAAGCUCAAAAGUUUUGCAGAGAGAAUUAUGCCGACCUGUCCACCAUAGACAGCGAUGAGGAGCUUACAAGGUUCAAAAGUGAUUCAAAUGAUCAGAAAGCAGAUAGCACAGAGAGCUGGGUUGGACUGAACAAACUCUCUGCUGACCAUCAAUGGGUGUGGAGUGAUGGAAGCACAGAAAGGUCUAUGCCAUGGAAGUCUGAUCAACCAGACGAGCCAGAGACAGCCUUUUGCAGUAAGAGUUCAGGUGGGGAACUUUAUGAUUAUGCUUGUGAUAUGAAGUACCCUUUUUUCUGUUAUAAGUGGGUGCCUGAACUGAUCCUGGUAACGGAGAAGAAGAGCUGGGAGGAGGCGUUAGAACACUGCAGGUCUCAACACUCUGACCUGGCCUCUCUGCCAACCAGUUUACAUCUCUUCCAAGCCAAUAACAAGACAGCAGACAUGCAAACCGACGGCGUGUGGACAGGUCUGCGCUUCCUGGCAGGGUCCUGGUUCUGGGUCAGUGGGGAGUCUCUGGGAAAUUUGGUCCAGCUGCCGGAAUGCCCCGCCAGUCCCCUUUACUGUGGAUCUCGAAACCUAGCAGCUAAACGCUGGGAGAGCAGAGACUGUGAAACUAAACUUAACUUUGUAUGUUAUUAAAGAUCAGGUCUUCCUCGGAGGAGCUGAGAAGAGUGCGAGAAAUAAACAGAUGAAGAAAUUCCAAAAACAUCAAAGUAGACCUUUAUUUGACUUAAAAUCAGUGAAUCUGCUUUAUGUCUAUAGUUUAUGUAAAAGUAGUGGUGUAGUAUUUAGGUUUAUGCAUUGUAUAUCUCUAUAUGCUAUGUUUAUGUUAUUUAAAAUAUGAAAAAGGGUCGUAGAUGUGAACAUGUUACUUGAAAAACACCUGAUGAUGCAUCACUUUACACUUUGUAACACUAACUAUACUUUUAGUUAGAGUGUAUUGAUGUCAUAGAUUUACCUUUUAGAAGCAAUUUU